GACGAACGCUGGCGGCGUGCUUAACACAUGCCAGUCGAGCGGAAAGGCCACUUCGGUGGUACUCGAGCGGCGCACGGGUGAGUAACACGUGAGUAAUCUGCCCUUGGCUUUGGGAUAGCCACCGGAAACGGUGAUUAAUACCGGAUACGACCACUCCAGGCAUCUGGUGGUGGUGGAAAGUUUUUCGGCCAGGGAUGUGCUCGCGGCCUAUCAGCUUGAUGGUGAGGUAAUGGCUCACCAUGGCUUCGACGGGUAGCCGGCCUGAGAGGGUGACCGGUCACACUGGGACUGAGACACGGCCCAGACCCCUACGGGAGGCAGCAGUGGGGAAUAUUGGACAAUGGGCGGAAGCCUGAUCCAGCAACGCCGCGUGAGGGAUGACGGCCUUCGGGUUGUAAACCUCUUUCGGUAGGGACGAAGCGCAAGUGACGGUACCUACUAAAGAAGCACCGGCCAACUACGUG
rnacentral:rRNA from 1 species